rnacentral:rRNA from 1 species
AUGCCACCAGAUAGAGACAUUGAGUUCUUGAUUGAACUUUUGCCAGGCACAGGGCCAAUAUCUAAGAGACCGUACAGGAUGCCCGCAAAGGAUUUGGAGGAAAUUAAGAAGCAGAUCAAGGAGUUACUGGAUAAAGCAUAUAUUCGCCCAAGUUCGUCACCUUGGGGAUCACCAGUACUUCUAGUGGAGAAGAAAGAUGGAUCGCUGAGGAUGGUUGUUGAUUACCGUGGAUUGAAUGAAGUAACCAUCAAAAACAAGUACCCACUGCCGAUGAUCAAUGAUUUGUUUGACCGCCUACAAGGAGCUAAAGUAUUUUCCAAGAUCGAUUUACGAUCAGGAUACCAUCAGUUAAAGAUUCGAGAGCAGCAUAUACCCAAGACGGCAUUUACCACCCGAUAUGGAUUGUAUGAAUAUACCGUUAUGUCAUUUGGUCUGACUAACGCACCUGCCUAUUUCAUGAACCUGAUGAACAAAGUGUUUAUGGAAUUUUUUGAUAAGUUCGUCGUGGUGUUCAUUGAUGAUAUUCUAGUCUUUUCCAAGAAUGAAGAAGAGCAUGAGGAGCAUUUGCGAUUGGUACUUGAGAAGCUCAGAGAACACCAGUUAUAUGCCAAGUUCAGCAAGUGUGAAUUUUGGCUGAAGGAAGUUGGAUUCCUUGGACAUGUUAUUUCUGGAGAAGGAAUAGCAGUAGACCCUGCCAAGGUUGACACAGUGACAAGUUGGGAAUCACCCACAACAGUUGGAGAAAUCCGGAGUUUUCUUGGACUUGCAGGAUACUACCGGAGAUUCAUCGAGAAUUUCUCAAGGAUUGCUAAGCCCAUGACGGAGCUAUUAAAGAAGGACACCAAAUUCAAUUGGACUGAGGAAUGUGAAGCUAGUUUCCAGGAGUUGAAGAAACGAUUGGUUACCUCACCAGUGUUGAUUCUGCCAGAUCAACGCAAGGACUAUGAAGUUUAUUGUGACGCUUCUCGUCGAGGACUUGGAGCAGUGCUUAUGCAGGAAGGAAGAGUUGUGUCAUAUGCUUCACGACAACUU